GAUGAACGCUGGCGGCGUGCCUAAUACAUGCAAGUCGAGCGAACAGACGAGGAGCUUGCUCCUCUGACGUUAGCGGCGGACGGGUGAGUAACACGUGGAUAACCUACCUAUAAGACUGGGAUAACUUCGGGAAACCGGAGCUAAUACCGGAUAAUAUAUUGAACCGCAUGGUUCAAUAGUGAAAGACGGUUUUGCUGUCACUUAUAGAUGGAUCCGCGCCGCAUUAGCUAGUUGGUAAGGUAACGGCUUACCAAGGCAACGAUGCGUAGCCGACCUGAGAGAGGGAUCGGCCACACUAGAACGUAGACACGGUCCAGACGCCUACGGGAGGCAGCAGUAGGGAAUCUUCCGCAGUGGUCGAAAGCCUGACGGAGCAACGCCGCGUGAGUUAUGAAGGUCUUCGGAUCGUAAAACUCUGUUAUUAGGUAAGAACAAAUGUGUAAGUAGCUAUGCACGUCUUGACGGUACCUAAUCAGAAAGCCACGGCUAACUACGUG
rnacentral:rRNA from 1 species